UACGGGAGGCAGCAGUAGGGAAUAUUGGACAAUGGAGGAAACUCUGAUCCAGCCAUGCCGCGUGAAGGAAGACGGUCCUCUGGAUUGUAAACUUCUUUUAGCAGGGGAUAAACCUGGUCUAUACGGCCAGCUGAAGGUACCUGCAGAAUAAGCACCGGCUAACUCCGUGCCAGCGACCGCGGUAAU
rnacentral:rRNA from 1 species